rnacentral:rRNA from 1 species
GAUCCUGGCUCAGGAUGAACGCUAGCUACAGGCUUAACACAUGCAAGUCGAGGGGCAGCAUUUUAGUUUGCUUGCAAACUAAAGAUGGCGACCAGCGCACGGGUGAGUAACACGUAUCCAACCUGCCGAUAACUCGGGGAUAGCCUUUCGAAAGAAAGAUUAAUAUCCGAUGGUAUAUUAAAACCGCAUGGUUUUACUAUUAAAGAAUUUCGGUUAUCGAUGGGGAUGCGUUCCAUUAGUUUGUUGGCGGGGUUAACGG